rnacentral:rRNA from 1 species
UGGGGAAUUUUGGACAAUGGGCGCAAGCCUGAUCCAGCCAUUCCGCGUGAGUGAAGAAGGCCUUCGGGUUGUAAAGCUCUUUCGGCCGGGAAGAAAUCGCAUCCUCUAAUACGGGGUGUGGAUGACGGUACCGGAAGAAGAAGCACCGGCUAACUACGUGCCAGCAGCCGCGGUAAUACGUAGGGUGCGAGCGUUAAUCGGAAUUACUGGGCGUAAAGGGUGCGCAGGCGGCGCCAUAAGACAGAUGUGAAAUCCCCGGGCUCAACCUGGGAACUGCGUUUGUGACUGUGGUGCUUGAGUGCGGCAGAGGGGGGUGGAAUUCCACGUGUAGCAGUGAAAUGCGUAGAGAUGUGGAGGAACACCGAUGGCGAAGGCAGCCCCCUGGGUCGACACUGACGCUCAUGCACGAAAGCGUGGGGAGCAAACAGGAUUAGAUACCCCCGUAGUCCCUGAGCGGGCUGGCAAGGCG